rnacentral:rRNA from 1 species
AUUUUGCGCAAUGGACGAAAGUCUGACGCAGCAACGCCGCGUGAGGGAUGAAGGCCUUCGGGUUGUAAACCUCUUUUCUCAGGGACGAUGAUGACGGUACCUGAGGAAUAAGUCACGGCUAACUACGUGCCAGCAGCCGCGGUAAUACGUAGGUGGCUAGCGUUGUCCGGAUUUACUGGGCGUAAAGAGCGCGCAGGCGGUCGUUCAAGUCGAGUGUGAAAGCCCCCGGCUCAACUGGGGAGGGUCACUCGAUACUGAUCGACUUGAAGGCGGGAGAGGGAAGCGGAAUUCCCGGUGUAGUGGUGAAAUGCGUAGAUAUCGGGAGGAACACCAGUGGCGAAGGCGGCUUUCUGGCCCGUUCUUGACGCUGAGGCGCGAAAGCUAGGGUAGCAAACGGG